UACAGAGGGGGCAAGCGUUGUUCGGAAUUACUGGGCGUAAAGGGCGCGUAGGCGGGUCGUUAAGUCAGGGGUGAAAUCCCGGAGCUCAACUCCGGAACUGCCUUUGAUACUGGCGAUCUUGAGUUCGAGAGAGGUGAGUGGAACUGCGAGUGUAGAGGUGAAAUUCGUAGAUAUUCGCAAGAACACCAGUGGCGAAGGCGGCUCGCUGGACAAGUAUUGACGCUGAGGUGCGAAAGCGUGGGGAGCGAACAGG
rnacentral:rRNA from 1 species